rnacentral:rRNA from 1 species
CCCAGACUCCUACGGGAGGCAGCAGUGGGGGAUAUUGCACAAUGGGGGGAACCCUGAUGCAGCGACGCCGCGUGGGUGAAGAAGUAUUUCGGUAUGUAAAGCCCUAUCGGCAGGGAAGAAAUUGGACGGUACCUGACUAAGAAGCCCUGGCUAACUACGUGCCAGCAGCCGCGGUAAUACGUAGGGGGCAAGCGUUAUCCGGAUUCACUGGGUGUAAAGGGAGCGUAGACGGCCAUGCAAGCCUGGAGUGAAAGCCCGGGGCCCAACCCCGGGACUGCUCUGGGAACUGUGCGGCUGGAGUGCGGGAGGGGCAGGCGGAAUUCCUGGUGUAGCGGUGAAAUGCGUAGAUAUCAGGAGGAACACCGGCGGCGAAGGCGGCCUGCUGGACCGCGACUGACGUUGAGGCUCGAAAGCGUGGGGAGCAAACAGGAUUAGAUACCCCAGUAACU